rnacentral:sRNA from 1 species
GCUUUUUCCUGGGAUAGCGAUGGAGACGCCGGGCGCAUCAGCUUCGUCUUUGUUGCUUCCCGCCGCGUCCAGGCCCCCGAGGAAGCGCGAGGCGGGAGAGGCUGGGGCUGCGACGAGCAAGCAGCGGGUCCUGGACGAGGAAGAGUAUAUCGAGGUACGACCUCGGUGCGGACGCCGGCGACUUCUGGGCCCAUCCUCUGCUUCAGGCUCCUCUCAGGUUCCCUCUCUCGGGUCUUGACACUCCGUCUCCUCGUGGAAGUGGAGGAGCCGGGUGUGGACGGUCCCACGAGUCAAGUAAACAGGGCAGAGGAAGACGUCUGUGGUGGAAGAGGCUGUAGUAGUGUUGUCAGGGAAAAGAGGGAGCGGCUCUCUUUGUAUGGGACGGGGGUCAGGGAAAGAAGAUUUUCUGUUAAAGUGUGAGUAGGAGUUUGACAAACUGGAAGGAUGGUGGCAAAGAGGGCUUUCUAAAGAGCGGUGGCAGCAAGUGUGAAUGCUGGGGUUCCUGGAAAGAGACCGCAGUUGUGACAGCAUCUCGAGGCCUCCAGACGGUCAUCCAAAGGGAUUUCUUUCCUGAUGUGGAG